UUUCCGUAGGUGAACCUGCGGAAGGAUCAUUAAUUAUAUAAGGCCACAGGGCAAGCUCUCCGAAAGGAUCGAGCUUGCUGUGUGAACCCUACCUACCCUUGCUUUUUGCGUACCCAUUGUUUCCUCGGCAGGCUUGCCUGCCAGUAGGACCCUCUUAAACCCUUUGUAAUUGCAGUCAGCGUCAGAAACAACGUAAUCGUUACAACUUUCAACAACGGAUCUCUUGGUUCUG
rnacentral:misc_RNA from 1 species